rnacentral:rRNA from 1 species
UACAGAGGGGGCAAGCGUUGUUCGGAAUUACUGGGCGUAAAGGGUGCGUAGGUGGCGUCGUAAGUCGGGUGUGAAAUUUCGGAGCUUAACUCCGAAACUGCAUUCGAUACUGCGGUGCUUGAGGACUGGAGAGGAGACUGGAAUUUACGGUGUAGCAGUGAAAUGCGUAGAGAUCGUAAGGAAGACCAGUGGCGAAGGCGGGUCUCUGGACAGUUCCUGACACUGAGGCACGAAGGCCAGGGGAGCAAACGGG